rnacentral:rRNA from 1 species
AUGAUUCUUCACGCCUCUAACCAAGGUCUUCUGCAACAUCCAAUUAUCGCAAACUCCCUCUGUCCGGUGUUGCAGUAUGCCGACGACACUCUCAUUAUCAUCAAGGCCGACUCCGACCAUCUAGUCCACCUUAAACUUAUUUUGCAUAACUUCUCUUUGGCUACUGGGCUUACGAUCAACUUUGAAAAAAGCACGUUCGCCCCGAUCCAUGUAGACCCUCACUCUGCUACGGUUAUGGCGUCCUCUCUAGGUUGCUUAGUUGCCUCUUUCCCUCAAAAUUACCUUGGCCUCCCUUUAUCUACGCAUAAAUUACGGCUGCUAGAUUUCCACCCUAUGAUCGCCAAGGUUGACAAGCGGUUGGCCGGUUGGCGAGGACACCUUCUCUCUAUAGCCGGUAGGGCGGUCCUCGUCAAGUCUGUUAUUGCCUUCCCUACCUACGCCAUGAGCGCUAUGCUUCUUCCUGCUGGCACCAUUCUAGAGAUUGACAAACGUUGUCGCGCUUUCUUUUGGGCGGGUGACGACACUGUUAAUGGGGGACAGUGUAAGGUUGCUUGGGAUGAGGUUUGUGCCCCGAUUAGCAAAGGCGGUCUCGGUUUUCGUUGCCUACGCACCCACAAUAUUUGCCUCCUCCUCAAAUCGCUAAGUAAAAUCCACUGCCCAGGCAAUGCCUCCUGGGAGACGUGGCUUGCUAACACCUACGGCUGGGCCGGUGGGCACUACAUCGGAGACCCACAUAGGUUACACACGAACGUCUGGAAAGAUCUAACUUCCGGCCUUUCCUUUUUUUCGCUCAAUCACACAUGUCAAAAUUGGCAACGGCAUCUCUGCUGCCUUCUGGCUGGAUCUCUGGAUCGGCGCGGUACCUCUAGCUUCCCACUUUCCAAAUCUCUUCUCACACACCACCAAACCGAAUGUCUCAGUUGCCUUCAUGCUAGCCGAUGUGGACCUACGACCCUCGCUACAGCCACGUUUAACCAACGCUGCUAA